UACAGAGGGGGCAAGCGUUGUUCGGAAUUACUGGGCGUAAAGGCGCGUAGGCGGCCUGCUAAGUCGAACGUGAAAUCCCUGGGCUCAACCCAGGAACUGCGUCCGAUACUGGUUGGCUUGAAUCCAGGAGAGGGAUGUGGAAUUCCAGGUGUAGCGGUGAAAUGACGUAGAUAUCUGGAGGAACACCGGUGGCGAAGGCGACAUCCUGGACCGGUAUUGACGCUGAGGCGCGAAAGCCAGGGGAGCAAACGG
rnacentral:rRNA from 1 species